rnacentral:rRNA from 1 species
CCUACGGGUGGCAGCAGUGGGGGAUAUUGCACAAUGGGGGAAACCCUGAUGCAGCGACGCCGCGUGAGUGAAGAAGUAUUUCGGUAUGUAAAGCUCUAUCAGCAGGGAAGAAAAUGACAGUACCUGACCAAGAAGCCCCGGCUAACUACGGGCCAGCAGCCGCGGGAAUCCGUAGGGGGCAAGCGUUAUCCGGAUUUACUGGGUGUAAAGCGAGCGUAGACGGUUAUGUAUGUCUGGAGUGAAAGCCCGGGGCCCAACCCCGGGACUGCUUUGGAAACUGUGUAACUGGAGGACAGGAGGGGCAGGCGGAAUUCCUGGUGUAGCGGUGGAAUGCGUAGAUAUCAGGAGGAACACCGGCGGCGAAGGCGGCCUGCUGGACUGAAACUGACGUUGAGGCUCGAAAGCGUGGGGAGCGAACAGGAUUAGAUACCCGUGUAGUC